AAAAAGAUAAAUCAUAAGUUUUCGUGCCCAACGUUUGACUAUCCGUCCUAUAUAAAAUUUUCUAUAAUUAGUAUUUUCAUUAUUGUUAGAUGAUAAAACAUGAUUAAUAUUUUAUGCGUGACUUGUCUUUUUAAUUUUUUUAUAUUUUUUUAAAUAAGAUGGACGGUCAAACGUUGGAUACGGAAAUCCAAGGCUUGCCUUUUU
rfam:Oryza barthii chromosome 3, whole genome shotgun sequence.